UACGGGGGGGGUAAGCGUUGUUCGGAAUUACUGGGCGUAAAGGGCUCGUAGGCGGCCAACUAAGUCAGACGUGAAAUCCCUCAGCUUAACUGGGGAACUGCGUCUGAUACUGGAUGGCUUGGAUCCGGGAGAGGGAUGCGGAAUUCCAGGUGUAGCGGUGAAAUGCGUAGAUAUCGGGAGGAACACCAGUGGCGAAGGCGGCGACCUGGGCCAAUACUGACGCUGAGGUGCGAAAGCGUGGGGAGCAAACAGG
rnacentral:rRNA from 1 species